rnacentral:rRNA from 1 species
UACAGAGGGUGCAAGCGUUGUCCGGAAUCACUGGGCGUAAAGGGCGCGUAGGCGGCCCGAUAAGUAGGGGGUGAAAUCUUGCGGCUCAACCGCAAGGCUGCCUUCUAGACUGUCGGGCUUGAGCACAGUAGAGGCAGGUGGAAUUCCCGGUGUAGCGGUGGAAUGCGUAGAGAUCGGGAAGAACAUCGGUGGCGAAGGCGAGUCUCUGGCACGCAUCUGACGCUGAACCACGAAAGCCAGGGGAGCGAACGGG